CGGCUACCUAAUGUAAGCAUCGGCUAACUCCGUGCCAGCAGCCGCGGUAAUACGGAGGAUGCAAGCGUUAUCCGGAAUCAUUGGGCGUAAAGAGUCUGUAGGUGGCCCUUCAAGUCUGCUGUCAAAGACCGAAGCUCAACUUCGGGCAGGCGGUGGAAACUGAAGAGCUAGAGAGAAGCAGGGGUAGAGGGAAUUCCCAGUGUAGCGGUGAAAUGCGUAGAGAUUGGGAAGAACACCAGUGGCGAAGGCGCUCUACUGGGCUUCGACUGACACUCAGAGACGAAAGCUAGGGUAGCGAAAGGGAUUAGAUACCCCUGUAGUC
rnacentral:rRNA from 1 species